UGGGGAAUUUUGGACAAUGGGCGAAAGCCUGAUCCAGCAAUGCCGCGUGUGUGAAGAAGGCCUUCGGGUUGUAAAGCACUUUUGUCCGGAAAGAAAUCCUUGGCUCUAAUACAGUCGGGGGAUGACGGUACCGGAAGAAUAAGCACCGGCUAACUACGUGCCAGCAGCCGCGGUAAUACGUAGGGUGCAAGCGUUAAUCGGAAUUACUGGGCGUAAAGCGUGCGCAGGCGGUUUGCUAAGACCGAUGUGAAAUCCCCGGGCUCAACCUGGGAACUGCAUUGGUGACUGGCAGGCUAGAGUAUGGCAGAGGGGGGUAGAAUUCCACGUGUAGCAGUGAAAUGCGUAGAGAUGUGGAGGAAUACCGAUGGCGAAGGCAGCCCCCUGGGCCAAUACUGACGCUCAUGCACGAAAGCGUGGGGAGCAAACAGGAUUAGAUACCCUGGUAGUCCACGCCCUAAACGAUGUCAACUAGUUGUUGGGGAUUCAUUUCCUUAGUAACGUAGCUAGCGCGUGAAGUUGACCGCCUGGGGAGUACGGUCGCAAGAUUAAAACUUAAAUGAAUUGACGGGGUCAUAGCU
rnacentral:rRNA from 1 species